GGGUGAUUAGCUCAGCUGGGAGAGCACCUCCCUUACAAGGGAGAUUCGGCCGGUUUCGAUCCGUCAUCACCCACCA
rnacentral:tRNA from 1 species